rnacentral:rRNA from 1 species
UACGUAGGGUCCGAGCGUUGUCCGGAAUUACUGGGCGUAAAGAGCUCUCAGGUGGUUUGUCGCGUUGUUCGUGAAAACUCACAGCUCAACUGUGGGCGUGCGGGCGAUACGGGCAGACUGGAGUACUGCAGGGGAGACUGGAAUUCCUGGUGUAGCGGUGGAAUGCGCAGAUAUCAGGAGGAACACCGGUGGCGAAGGCGGGUCUCUGGGCAGUAACUGACGCUGAGGAGCGAAAGCGUGGGGAGCGAACAGG